AGAGUUUGAUCAUGGCUCAGGAUGAACGCUGGCGGCGUGCCUAAUACAUGUAAGUCGAACGGAAGAUGUAGCAAUAUGUCUUUAGUGGCGAACGGGUGAGUAACGCGUUGGUGACCUGCCCCGAAGAGAGGGAUAACAGACCGAAAGGUUUGCUAAUACCGCGUAAUUUCCUUCUAGUUAGAGAGGAGGGAAGAAAGGCCGAAAGGCGCUUUGGGAGGGGCCUGCGUCCCAUCAGCUAGUUGGCGAGGUAAAAGCUCACCAAGGCGAUGACGGGUAGGGGACCUGAGAGGGUGACCCCCCACAAUGGAACUGAAACACGGUCCAUACACCUACGGGUGGCAGCAGUAGGGAAUAUUGGUUAAUGGGCGAAGGCCCGACCCAGCAACGCCGCGUGCACGAAGAAGGCCUUCGGGUUGUAAAGUGCUUUUUAGUGGGAUGAGGAAGGACAGUACCACUAGAAUAAGUCUCGGCUAACUACGUGCCAGCAGCCGCGGUAACACGUAGGAGACGAGCGUUAUCCGGAUUUACUGGGUGUAAAGCGCGUGCAGGCGGUCGGGUAAGUUGGAUGUGAAAGCUCCUGGCUUAACUGGGAGAGGUCGUUCAAAACUGCCGGGCUAGAGUGCAACAGAGGGGAGUGGAAUUCCGAGUGUAGCGGUAAAAUGCAUAGAUAUUCGGAAGAACACCAGUGGCGAAGGCGGCUCUCUGGGUUGCAACUGACGCUCAGACGCGAAAGCUAGGGUAGCGAACGGGAUUAGAGACCCCGGUAGUCCUAGCCGUAAACGAUGUGGACUUGGCGUGGGUGGGUUGAAAUCCAUCUGUGCCGAAGCAAACGCGAUAAGUCCACCACCUGGGGACUACGGCCGCAAGGUUAAAACUCAAAGGAAUUG
rnacentral:rRNA from 1 species